UAAGGGAAAACUAUUGGAAGGUCACUGUAUCUGUGAAACUGCAGACGUGACAGAAGAAUAGAAUAAAGCGGAUGGGAAAGCAGAGCAAAUAGCAAACAAGUAACUAUAAGAAGGUUAAGAGAAACAGC